GAGGGCAUAGUUUAAUUGGUUAAAGCGUUAGCUUGUCACGCUAAAGAUUGUGGGUUCAAUUCCCAUUGCUCUCG
rnacentral:tRNA from 1 species